ACGGAGCUAAGAUACAUCAGAGCAAACUGAACUCUGCCCUGUUUGAUCAGUGAUUCAGCCUUCCAUACCGACUGUAUGCAUGACACAUGGUUCCUGAAACGGAGCUCCUCAGAGAAGCAGCACGGCUCUCUGCUAAAGGAAAACCUGUGCCCAGGCUUUACAAGAAAAGAGCUUUGCAGAGGAGUCUGGGGGAGGAUCGCGAGAUGGCUCUGCGGAUAUUUAUGGGAAGCUCAUCCCACACAGGAAGGGUAGCCUGGGAGAAUUGCAAAGCUGGUUAACAUGUGGAAAGUGAAAGCUGGCACUAUAGCCUGGUCAGACAUGGUGACUUGCUCCUUCACAACAAGUGAGAGGAGAUAAAUUAUUUUCUGUGAGAGCGCUUGGGCCUGCGGUGGUUUUGAGCCUGAGCUCCAUAUCCCUGGUGCAGUUUUGACUGAAGAAAUGUUGGUGACCAAGCACAGGAUACCAUUUUGGGAAUACGUCUAGAUGGAUAUGAGGUAUCUUGCAUCUUGCUUGGUCAUUUGUGUAGGUUUGUAAAUAUUUAUGCAGUACUUUAUGCAAAUACUACUAAGCCUCGUUGAUUGCUGUGGGCUUUUAUGAGAUACUUCAUACAGAUAGCAAUACAGGUGUCUUCUGUCCCAUGCAAAUAAUCUUGCCAAGCAGUUUUCCGUCUGUGUCUUUGCAUCCAUAGCUUUGGCGUCUGUCCCUUAUAAGUGUGUUUUUCCAUGAGAUGCAGUGUGUGAACGUGAGUUUAUCCAUUUCUUAAAUUCUGUAUUUUCCAGUGCCUGUACAGGUACUCAGCUGGGUUAUGAGAACUCCAGCACAGAUCUGUUAGAACAUUUUGGCAGGUGCUGUAGAGUUUGUUCCUUAACAUGUCUCGUCUAAUAAAACAAGCCUGCUACGAACAAUUUCUUGUAUAAUUAGGUACCUUAUUUUUGAAUGGCAGUUCAGCACUGUCGGAAAGAGUGGGCUUGUCACACACUUCCAGCAUCUCUGCCUGCCUGCUUUGUGACCUGUGGCAGGCAAUCUUAUGAUGGCCUUGAACUUUGAUCAGGCCCCUAAAGAGUGCCAGGGAAUUCACAGGUCUCCUGAGGCCGAGAAGUUUAGAAACAUCUGGUUACUUAUUCAUUAAGUGGGAUUUUACAUUGCAUAGUAGCUUGAAGCUAAAUCAAAGUGAUUUUUCUCCAUGUGCAUGUCACUGUAUGAGCCAAAGAUGAGCCAAAGGUUUUGCCACAGCGUUUCUGUUCACAGACAAGAGACCUUUCCCCAUGACUGCUAGCAGUGGUACCAGGACCAAGAGCAUCUGAGGAGCUGUCUAAUAUUCUAGGGCUAACUUGUACCAAAAAAAAAAAUGCCAUUCUUGCACAGUUGCAAUUCGUCUUGCAAGGUUAAAUCACUCUGAUCCUUGUUAUCUGUGCUAUUUACAUCCCACACACUCCUGCCUACGGAGAAAAUCACUAAUCACUGCUUGAGAAGAUCACAUGCGUAUAGGAAGAACCAAAAUUAAUUUAUAGGAAUUUAUGUUAAGUAUGAUCUCUUGCAAUCAUUUACCUUGCUUUCUUGCAUAAAUUGUGCACUGAUGAUGAUUAAAACUAUUAAUAUACUCUUAAGAGCAGUAAUUCCGACGUAUUCCAAAUUAUAAACCCAGUUGCAGCAUAUGUAUCUCAUUCAGUUUGAUUUCUCAUUCUGGUAAUAUUAGUCAAGUCAGUUUUGCUGCGCUCAGACCACUGCGACCUAGUGUGCAUUAGCACCUUUUUAUAGAGCUGGAAAGAGAAACCAAAGCCCUUGAUUUUUUCAGUAAAACCAAGCACGUAACAUUUUGAGCUACUGCUGUUGACUUCAGAGGAUGCAAAACUGAGCCUUGACUGUGGUGAAGAAUGUGAAGCAGAGAGGAAAGAAACCUCCUUGAAAAUAACUUGCAGUAAUAAGAGAUAAUACAAAUUUGGUCUUCAAGCAUGGUCUGUUUUUUUUGCUCUAGGUCUACUGCUAUUACAUCCAGCAUUACUAGCUAUUUGCGCUGUCAAAUAUUUCCCCUGAAUCUUCUCUUUGAUUAUUCUGGCAGAGAAUAGCACAGUUCAUGUAACAUGGUCAUCGUGGGUUUCUUUGAUUUACUCAGAUUUUGAGGUCAUAUAUCUGAAUAAAAGCAAGUGUUGCAUGAUCAGUACCUAGUAGGCCCGAGUGAUUUCUCUAAAGAUUGAAUGUGUAUGAAACAGGGCAGAGCUUGUACUAGAGGAGUGUAUGGAAAGAGAUGCUUGCACUUUAAUAUAUUGCACAUUUUCAGCCACAAUGGCAAAGAAAAGGAGAAACUCUUGUGAUUUAUUCCUUAUGUGACUUAAAAAGAAAAAAAAAAAAAAACAAAAAAAAAAAAAC